rnacentral:rRNA from 1 species
AUGAAAAGAAAACAUGAACAAACUUGGGGGGAAAACUCAGCGAGCUCAAGCAUGGAUGGCGUGGACGGCUGGUGGAUGGUGGAGGGUGGAGAGUCGGUGACACUUCUCAUCGGGGAAGAUCUGGCAUCGCUUGUGGUGGAGAAACGAUGGCGUCUUGGACGGAGCCCGACAGUGUCUCUUGGCGGGGCGGUGUGGGAAAAUAGAGGGAGAGUAGAGACAGGGAGGAGGAAAGAACAGGGUCUAUGGGUUCGUCAAGGGUGUGGAAGGACAAGUGUGUAUGCCAGGGACUUGUGCCUCAAAUUAGAAUAG